rnacentral:rRNA from 1 species
CCUACGGGUGGCAGCAGUGAGGGAUAUUGCACAAUGGGGGAAACCCUGAUGCAGCGACGCCGCGUGGGUGAAGAAGCGCCUCGGCGCGUAAAACCCUGUCCGCAGGGAAGAAAAUGACGGUCCCUGAAGAAGCAGCCCCGGCUAACUACGUGACAGCAGCCGCGGUACUACGUAGGGGGCAAGCGUUAUCCGGAUUUACUGGGUGUAAAGGGGGCGCAGACGGCGAUGCAAGCCAGGAGUGAAAGCCCGGAGCCCAACCCCGGGACUGCGCUUGGAACUGCGUGGCUAGAGUGCAGGAGGGGUAGGCGGAAUUCCUGGUGUAGCGGUGAAAUGCGUAGAUAUCAGGAGGAACACCGGUGGCGAAGGCGGCCUGCUGGACUGCAACUGACGUUGAGGCCCGAAAGCGUGGGGAGCAAACAGGAUUAGAUACCCUGGUAGUC